UGGGGAAUUUUGGACAAUGGGCGCAAGCCUGAUCCAGCAAUGCCGCGUGCGGGAAGAAGGCCUUCGGGUUGUAAACCGCUUUUGUCAGGGAAGAAACGAGUUUCUCUAAUACAGAGACUUAAUGACGGUACCUGAAGAAUAAGCACCGGCUAACUACGUGCCAGCAGCCGCGGUAAUACGUAGGGUGCAAGCGUUAAUCGGAAUUACUGGGCGUAAAGCGUGCGCAGGCGGUUAUGCAAGACAGAUGUGAAAUCCCCGGGCUCAACCUGGGAACUGCAUUUGUGACUGCAUAGCUGGAGUGCGGCAGAGGGGGAUGGAAUUCCGCGUGUAGCAGUGAAAUGCGUAGAUAUGCGGAGGAACACCGAUGGCGAAGGCAAUCCCCUGGGCCUGCACUGACGCUCAUGCACGAAAGCGUGGGGAGCAAACA
rnacentral:rRNA from 1 species